rnacentral:tRNA from 1 species
UCUACAUUGUUGUAUUAAUAGCAUAGUAGCUUUUCGUGCUGUAGGUGGUAAUUUAUUUUACUAUGUAGGG